rnacentral:rRNA from 1 species
GACGAACGCUGGCGGCGUGCUUAACACAUGCAAGUCGAACGGGCCCGCUCUCUUUUUUGGGGGUGGGUUGAGUGGCGAACGGGUGAGUAUCACGUGAGUAACCUGCCCCCUGCUCCUGGAUAACUGCUUGAAAGGGCGGCUAAUACGGGGUGUGCCGGCUGGUCCGCAUGGGCCUGGUCGGGAUAGUUUCAUCUUCGGGUGUUUCGGUGGGGGAUGGGCUCGCGGCCUAUCAGCUUGUUGGUGGGGUGAUGGCCCACCAAGGCGGUGACGGGUAGCCGGCCUGAGAGGGUGGGCGGCCACACUGGGACUGAGACACGGCCCAGACUCCUGCGGGCGGCAGCAGUGGGGGGUAUUGCACAAUGGGCGGAAGCCUGAUGCAGCGACGUCGCGUGAGGGAUGGAGGCCUUCGGGUUGUGAACCUCUUUCUCCGGUGGUGAAGGCCCUGUCCGUUGCGGCGGGGUUGACGGUAGCCGGGUAUGAAGCGCCGGCUAACUACGUG